rnacentral:rRNA from 1 species
AGAGUUUGAUCCUGGCUCAGGACGAACGCUGGCGGCGUGCCUAAUACAUGCAAGUCGAGCGAGACUCUUCGGAGUCUAGCGGCGGACGGGUGAGUAACACGUGGGCAACCUGCCUGUAAGACUGGGAUAACACCGGGAAACCGGUGCUAAUACCGGAUAAUCCUUUUCCUCUCAUGAGGAAAAGCUGAAAGUCGGUUUCGGCUGACACUUACAGAUGGGCCCGCGGCGCAUUAGCUAGUUGGUGAGGUAACAGCUCACCAAGGCGACGAUGCGUAGCCGACCUGAGAGGGUGAUCGGCCACACUGGGACUGAGACACGGCCCAGACUCCUACGGGAGGCAGCAGUAGGGAAUCUUCCACAAUGGACGAAAGUCUGAUGGAGCAACGCCGCGUGAGCGAUGAAGGCCUUCGGGUCGUAAAGCUCUGUUGUUAGGGAAGAACAAGUAUCGGAGUAACUGCCGGUACCUUGACGGUACCUAACCAGAAAGCCACGGCUAACUACGUGCCAGCAGCCGCGGUAAUACGUAGGUGGCAAGCGUUGUCCGGAAUUAUUGGGCGUAAAGCGCGCGCAGGCGGUCCUUUAAGUCUGAUGUGAAAGCCCACGGCUCAACCGUGGAGGGUCAUUGGAAACUGGGGGACUUGAGUGCAGAAGAGGAAAGCGGAAUUCCACGUGUAGCGGUGAAAUGCGUAGAGAUGUGGAGGAACACCAGUGGCGAAGGCGGCUUUCUGGUCUGUAACUGACGCUGAGGCGCGAAAGCGUGGGAAGCAAACAGGAUUAGAUACCCUGGUAGUCCACGCCGUAAACGAUGAGUGCUAAGUGUUAGAGGGUUUCCGCCCUUUAGUGCUGCAGCUAACGCAUUAAGCACUCCGCCUGGGGAGUACGGCCGCAAGGCUGAAACUCAAAGGAAUUGACGGGGGCCCGCACAAGCGGUGGGAGCAUGGUGGUUUAAUUCGAAG